ACCUUCCAGAUACACCUUUGAGUGUCUUGGAUUUAGAAUUGAAUGCUCCUUUGUUACUCUUACUACCAGGAGGAGGAGUCCUUUGACCUUGCUGCUGUUGUCUCUCUGCUGUGUGACGUUCUGAUGAUACUGUUCAUACACUCUGCUGUUCCCAGCCCUGCCAGACUUCUCUGCCUUGUUGCUCCUAACCAGAUCGGCUUUCUGGAUGAGUCCCUCACCUGCCUCCUGGCCACCCCGGGCUCUUCACUGUGCUGUGCUCUCCUGCCCCAUGAAGGCUGCUUUCAUUUCAGCCAGAAUCCAUGAAUCCAUCUGGGAGAAUUGACAGAAUAGCCAACCAAAAUGGUCAGCAAUUUAUGUGGAAAAAUGGAUUGUGCAUGUGGUUAUAUAUAUCAUGUAUAUACAUGUGCUGCCUAAAGACCCUGACAUAUAACAGCAGUUAUUUUUAAAAAAUUCCAACCAAAAGCUCUAAAAACAGGAGGCUGGUACCGCAUGGUAACUUUCUUGUUAUGCAGAUGUAUCCCAUCACCACUGUAGCUGCAAAUCCAUCAGACUGCACCUUUCUUCAGAGAUAUUUACGCAAUGCUCCAGAAUUUAAUUGAUCAAAGCUUCUCCGAGAUGUGUUGACUUUAGGGAUGGACUAAGGAGAGCUGCAGAAAUAAAAACCCUGUUCUAUGGAGACCGUCAUUAUGCUUAUUUGUUGGGGGUUUUUUUUCAAGCUUAAUUUUAAAAAGAGUGACUGCAGCUUGGAAAUCAUGGCAGCAUCCUGGAGUGUUGCCAUCUCUUGUUUGACCACGUGUACAUUAUGAAUUCAAGAAGCUCCUGCUGAGGAAAGGUACAGCAGUACAUUGUCAUCAAAACAUUCAAUGGGAUGGCAUUUUCCAGCAGCAGUAUGAAAGGCUUCAUGAAAAAUAAACCUUAACCAUCUCAAGUGAGGGUGUCUGUGCUAUUGUCCUGGCACAAUAAGCAUCCUCUGUAGCUCAGCUUUUACCCUUUGAUAUGCUGCUUUCAGAAUGGCAUAAAAAAGCUUCCUGUAGCUAUUGCUGCCAUCUCCCACUAAGCCACAUCUCUGUGUGGCAUUACUUCUCUUCCUCAAACUUAGUGCUGAGGAAGUCAACAAUGCUGAGAAAGUCAACAAUAAGAUGAAAAAGUGAUCUUAAAACUGUGUCCAAGAACCAUUGUUUGCUAGGAAGGGAGCUGGAGGGGCGGCUUCACUUAGGUUUUGCACCUCUGUGGUUGAAUCAGAGAGAAAUGCAUUCCUUCCCUCUCCUUCUCCUCCUACACCCUUAAGUAAUAAUGCAGGAAGACAUUUGAAAUAAAUAGUUCCUUGAUAGAAAUGUGCAUCUUUAAUUUCCUUACUUAAAUGAAGGGACUUUAUUAAUUGGAAAAAUAUCAGCUUUUGUUUACAUGAAUUUGUAUGAAAUAAAUAGCUGCAAGGAGGAGCAUAAAACCAUGAAUCCUAAAGGCUCAAACAUCAGAGGCAAUUAAAACUUUAGGAUUUGCACAUACUGAGAGAAAGAGUGGCUAUACAAAAAUAACUUUGAGGAGGAUAUUUCCACGGCAGAGAAGCAGCUAACUCCUACAUGCAGCAACACAUAGAUGCAGCCUACUUUUUGUCAGGAAUGGAUUCCAGGGUCCCAGGGGUCCUGUGUGAAUAUUGUCACUCUGCAUUCACAGCUUCACACACAAGAAAAUCCACUGCAAUGUGCCCUUAAUCCUUUACAGAAGCCUGGGAAACUCAGCCUGGACUUUGCUACAUUUCAGAAAUCUUACAAAUCCAUGCCCACCCCACUGCAGGUUUCAUAAGGACCCCUUCACUGCACUGGUGAGUUAAUUCUUCUCAUCUCCUCCACCUUUUCCAGUAGCACUGGUCUCUGGGAAGUAACAAUUCAGACAAUCAUCAAAAUCUUUCUUUCUUGCAAAGGUGGAUAUACCUGGGUGAGUAUCUAGGCUGCCUAAUAAUAUGAAACUACAUUACUCCAGCCCUUUCCCACACAGCUGGGGCAUUACUGAUGUUAGCUGCUGAGUUUUCAGCAUCUCUAAAAUACUCUUUUUACAACAUUCUUUCAGGAAAAAAAAAACCACAAUAAACACUUCAGAUUCCUAGUCUGAUUAAAGUAUUCAUUGAACUCUGUUUAAAUCAGGUGCAAAACAACAAUAUCUCCAACACCAGUGA